CAUGGGCUGCGGAGUCCAAAGCUCUUCCCUUGGUUUUAAGUUCUAAUUCCAGAUCUGGGGGCGAGCACUGCCAGUGGAGGCCCCCCUCUAGCCAGUCAAGGGGACCGGCGGCCGCGUCGGCCGAGGGGUCGAGCCGCAGCGAACUCAGAGCUUUGGGCGCCGAGGGGGCGGCAGGCUCCUCCCGGGCCCUCAGGAGGCUGUAGCCUCCAGCAAAGUCUAGCCAUCUGGUAGGGAUCAUCCCACCGAAAAGCUGGCUCCAGACCAGCAGCUUCUGAAGCAAGCCCGGGAGCGGCGCGAGGAGCUGGGAAAGCAGCUGCAUCCAGGAACUGCUUUGGGCCUCGGGCGGGGGGCUGGGAGCCAGCCUGGGGUCGGGUUCCGGGGCGAGCGGUGCGCGGAUCCUGGACGUGCCUGAUCGCGAAGGCCGAGGGAAGAAGGAGGGCAGCCGGAAGCGGGGGUCCGGCUUCCGCGAGCCGUCCGCCGCCGGCUCCAUCUCCCGGAGUCGGCAGUCCCUCAGGGAGGUAGGGACGCGGAGCUCGAGGCCCUACACAGUCUCGGCCUUCCCCAGCGGCGGAGUGGGUGCCCCAGGCCGACCCCCGGGCCAGCAGAAGAGCCAACAAGGAGAGCGGCUCCGGCCGCGGGCAGCGGGCCACAGUCCGGAACGGCGGGCACAAGACGCGGCGGCCAAGGCGACAUCCAUCCUGACAGCGAGAAGGGGCCCUACUCCGGCCCGCGCCGCUCCACCAUAGAUAGGAGCCCUUCCGCGGCGGCGGCGGCGGCGGCGGCGGCGGCGGCUUCCUCGAAGGCACGGACCGUGGAGAUUCCCCUCAGCAGCGCGACCCCGGAAGGGCUGGUCUGGGAGGGCAAGCGGGUGCAAGCGAAGCUCAAAAUGGCCGCAGGGCCAGCGCCGCGGCAACACCGCUCCAGGCAGGCUGACUAGACGCAGGAUGGCGGCCAGCUACGCCACCAGCCCCGCGCCGCCUGACGUCACUCGCCGGGCCGGGGGCGGGCCCUUCCGCGCUCUUUCCUGCGGCUGCCGAUUGGCCGCGCCCAGGUCCCUGUCGGCUUCCUUACUCUUGGUAGACCCGGUUGCGCGCGGGAGGUUGCAUCAGCCAGGCUUCGCGCAUGCGCACUUGCAGCUCAGCGGUCGCCUAGGAAACCGCCCCUCCGCCGCGGCCGGCCCUCUUCGCCCCUCCGCGGCGGCCCGCGCUCCCCCGCCCCCCACCUCGGCCCUCUAGGCCCAAGGGAGCUGCGUAGACGGGCCGAGGGGGCUCUGGAACUGUUAAAGGCGUGGUACGUACCCAAGUGUACAGGUCGACGGCAUUGGACCCUGGGUGCACGGUAACCACGUGCGCCGGGCCACUCCAGAAGAACAAGAGACGGCCAGGAGAGAAUGGAAGGUGACACUGCAUCCCUCCAAUCCUCUAAAAAUGAAACUCAUCCAUCAGGUCCCGGACGAAUCGCUUUGAUCCUCCUGAUGGUAGGUGUCCUCUUCGACCCUGGGACAGCCAACCCCAACCCGCAGCAGCCUGCCAGGAUCACCUGGACACUUCGGAACGGACUGACUCGCGAGGUACUCAAUUUGACCACCGGAAUUCACCCCCUCAACACGUGGUGGCCAGAUAUGUAUUUUAGCCUUAAAGACCUUAUAAAGACUACUUGGACAGCGGCCCAGACCCGGAACUUUGGAUUCUGGGCAUGCCCUGGACACUUACAAAAACACAAUUGGGAGACUUGUGGGGGGCCACAACAUUACUUCUGUUGGUCCUGGAGCUGUGUGACCUCCAAUGACGGGAGGUGGAAAUGGGAGGUAGGGAACCGGGACUUGGUCAACUUUUCGUUCGUCCAACCCUAUCGCGGACCUUGGGACCGGGAUUACCAGGACUUGCUCGGGAACUAUGUCGGGCCACGCUGGAAGCAGCACUGGGACCCGAUUGCCCAGGUGAAAGUAAUGUUCAAUCAGAAGUCAGCUAAACUAGAAAGGUCCUGGGUUUCCGGGCUGACGUGGGGUCUCCAACUCUACGCCGAGUGGUUUGAGUCUAAGCCUGGGGGAAUCCUGGUUAUUAGCCAGACAAUAGAACCCAUCCAGACCCAAGGUGUGGGCCCUAAUCAGGUCGAAAAUCCAGGCGCACAACAAGUAAUUAAGGCACACCCGACUCAGGGGGCUGCAACACUGAGCCCUAUGCCCUCUGUUUCUUGGCCAGGGAACCAGCUCAACUAAACAGAGGCCCUCAGCCCCUUGUCCUCCAUCCCCAACUUAAGAACGUCAGACCCAUUAUGAGAUCUAGUUAAGGCAGCCUUUGCAGCCCUAAAUCAUUCUAACCCAGGUGCAACUCAAUCCUGUUGGCUCUGUUAUACUCUUUACCCUCCCUUUUAUGAAGCAAUAGGCUUAAAUGUUUCUUACAACCUGUCCACCAGCACAAAUCCACCUCAAUGUCACUGGGGAGAAUGUAGGGUCAGUCUCACAAUGAGAGUAGUUUGGGGAAGGGGACUUUGCUUAGGUACUGUUCCACCUGAAAAGACCUCCUUGUGCGCCCAAACAGCCGAUCUUACAAGACUAGAUAAAACAAAAUGGAUUGUGCCUGAGGCAGGAGGUUGGUGGGUCUGUUCACAUACCAGGCUGACUCCGUGUUUACAUGCAUCAGUUUUUAAUCAGAGUAGAGAGUUUUGCAAUUGGUGGCUGUAAUGCCCAAAAUCUUAUACCACCCUGAAGAAGUUAUGUACAACUAUUGGGCUGGAGAGACAACAAAUCAGUUGGGAGAGAAAAGAGUUAGGAGAGAACCCAUCACAGCCAUCACUUUAGCAACCAUUUUCAGUCUUGGGAUCGCCGGAACAGGAACCGGGAUAGCUGCCUUGUCUCUCCAAGGUCAAGGGUUCACUUCCUUGCGGGCAGCUGUAGAUGAGGACAUCACACGCAUAACAGAAUCAAUUAGUCACCUAGAAAAAUCACUAACUUCCCUGUCCGAGGUAGUCCUACAAAACCAAAGGGGGUGAGAUCUGAUUUUCCUACAACAAGGGGGACUCUGCGCGGCUCUGGGAGAAGAAUGUUGUUUUUACGCAGACCUCACCGGGGUAGUAAGAAAUCUAUGGCCAAGGUGAGGGAAGGGCUGGCCCAACGGAAAAGAGAGCGGGAGGCCCAACAAGGAUGGUUUGAGUCCUGGUUCCAACAGUCUCCGUGGUUAACAAUGCUGAUUUCCAUCCUGGUGGGCCCUCUUAUAGUGCUAUUAUUAAAACUCACUUUUGGCCCAUGUAUCCUAAGCAAGCUUGUAACCUUUGUAAAACAAAGCAUCAAUACAGUCCAACUACUCGUACUCAGGCAACAAUAUCAGGCCUUGCCCCAAAAUAAAGAGGAAGAUUCCUCUGUAUGAUCAAAAGACAGGGGAAUGUUAGGACCUGACCUGAGCCAUGACAGGCUCAGCAAGCUGCACUAGGCCUAAAAGUUUCGGAUUCUCAUAGACCUGAGUCAUGAUUCCGGGAACUGUACCCCCGAGCCAAUCAGGAGAGUCCCCAUCCGCGCCAAGCUUGAGCCAAUCCGGAUAGGGAUGCAGGAUUCAAAAUUCACGCACGCGUACAGCUUAGCCAGUCAUCACACGCCAGCUACACUGUUGCUGAGACAAAGAACCGCCUGUAUAAAAGCAGUUGUUACUCAGAACUCGGGGCUCUUGUCGGAUUCCACUGCGCUGGAUGAGACCUGAGCCCUAGCUCCAGCUAGCAAUAAAAUCCCUUUAUGUUUUU